AAUUCUUACAACAUAGUGCUAAUGCAUCAGAUCCCAUUAGAACUCUAUAGUUAAGCACACUCGAGAUAGAGUAGUACUGAGAUGGGUGACCGACUCAGAAGUCCUAUUGUAUAAAAUU
rnacentral:rRNA from 1 species